CCGGUAAACGGCGGCCGUAACUAUAACGGUCCUAAGGUAGCGAAAUUCCUUGUCGGGUAAGUUCCGACCUGCACGAAUGGCGUAACGAUUGCCCCGCUGUCUCGACCAGGGACUCGGUGAAAUUGUAGUCGCGGUGAAGAUGCCGUGUACCCGCAACAAGACGGAAAGACCCCGUGCACCUUUACUACAGCUUGGCAUUGGAUUUUGGGAUAACUUGUGUAGGAUAGGUGGGAGGCGACGAUCUCCGGAUGCUAGUUCGGAGGGAGCCAACCUUGAAAUACCACCCUGGUUAUUCUAGAAUUCUAACCCAGUCCCGUGAUCCGGGACGGGGACAUUGCCUGGUGGGUAGUUUGACUGGGGCGGUCGCCUCCUAAAGCGUAACGGAGGCGCGCGAAGGUUCCCUCAGGCUGAUUGGAAACCAGCCGUUGAGUGUAAAGGCAUAAGGGAGCUUGACUGCGAGACCUACAAGUCGAGCAGGUACGAAAGUAGGCCUUAGUGAUCCGGCGGUCCCGUAUGGAAGGGCCGUCGCUCAUCGGAUAAAAGGUACGCCGGGGAUAACAGGCUGAUCUUCCCCAAGAGUUCACAUCGACGGGAAGGUUUGGCACCUCGAUGUCGGCUCAUCGCAUCCUGGGGCUGAAGAAGGUCCCAAGGGUUUGGCUGUUCGCCAAUUAAAGCGGUACGUGAGCUGGGUUUAAAACGUCGUGAGACAGUUUGGUCCCUAUCUGUUGUGGGCGUAGGAGAUUUGCGGGGAGCUGUCCCUAGUACGAGAGGACCGGGAUGGACGCACCUCUAGUGUUCCGGUUGUGCCGCCAGGCGCAGCGCCGGGUAGCUAUGUGCGGACCGGAUAACCGCUGAAAGCAUCUAAGCGGGAAGCCGACCUCAAGAUAAGAUCUCCCGGGAGCAAUCCCCUAAAGGCCCCUGGUAGACCACCAGGUUGAUAGGCC
rnacentral:rRNA from 1 species